AGGGCUGUAGCUCUGUGGCAGAGCAUCCGCUUUGCCCGCAGAAGGUCCCAGGUUCACUCCCCAGCAACUCUA